rnacentral:rRNA from 1 species
UACGUAGGGUCCGAGCGUUGUCCGGAAUUACUGGGCGUAAAGAGCUCGUAGGCGGCUUGUCGCGUCGGAUGUGAAAGCCCGGGGCUUAACUCCGGGUCUGCAUUCGAUACGGGCAGGCUAGAGUUCGGUAGGGGAGAUCGGAAUUCCUGGUGUAGCGGUGAAAUGCGCAGAUAUCAGGAGGAACACCGGUGGCGAAGGCGGAUCUCUGGGCCGAUACUGACGCUGAGGAGCGAAAGCGUGGGGAGCGAACAGG